rnacentral:rRNA from 1 species
UACGGGGGGAGCAAGCGUUGUUCGGAUUUACUGGGCGUAAAGGGCGCGUAGGCGGCGUGACAAGUCACUUGUGAAAUCUCCGGGCUUAACCCGGAGCGGCCAAGUGAUACUGUCGUGCUAGAGUGCGGAAGGGGCUACUGGAAUUCUCGGUGUAGCGGUGAAAUGCGUAGAUAUCGGGGGGAAUACCAGAGGCGCAAGCGGCGCCCCUGGCCUUGGCCUGACGCUCAGGUGCGAAAGCGUGGGGAGCGAACGGG